rnacentral:rRNA from 1 species
GACGAACGCUGGCGGCGUGCUUAACACAUGCAAGUCGAACGGAAAGGCCCUGCUUUUGUGGGGUGCUCGAGUGGCGAACGGGUGAGUAACACGUGAGCAACCUGCCCUUGACUUUGGGAUAACUUCAGGAAACUGGGGCUAAUACCGGAUAGGAGCUCCUGCUGCAUGGUGGGGGUUGGAAAGUUUCGGCGGUUGGGGAUGGACUCGCGGCUUAUCAGCUUGUUGGUGGGGUAGUGGCUUACCAAGGCUUUGACGGGUAGCCGGCCUGAGAGGGUGACCGGCCACAUUGGGACUGAGAUACGGCCCAGACUCCUACGGGAGGCAGCAGUGGGGAAUAUUGCACAAUGGGCGGAAGCCUGAUGCAGCAACGCCGCGUGCGGGAUGACGGCCUUCGGGUUGUAAACCGCUUUCGCCUGUGACGAAGCGUAAGUGACGGUAAUGGGUAAAGAAGCACCGGCUAACUACGUG